CAGGCCUAACACAUGCAAGUCGAACGGCAGCGCGGGAGCAAUACUGGCGGCGAGUGGCGAACGGGUGAGUAAUAUAUCGGAACGUGCCCAUUAGUGGGGGAUAGCCCGGCGAAAGCCGGAUUAAUACCGCAUACGACCUGAGGGUGAAAGCGGGGGAUCGCAAGACCUCGCGCUAUUGGAGCGGCCGAUAUCAGAUUAGCUAGUUGGUGGGGUAAAGGCCUACCAAGGCAACGAUCUGUAGUUGGUCUGAGAGGACGACCAGCCACACUGGGACUGAGACACGGCCCAGACUCCUACGGGAGGCAGCAGUGGGGAAUUUUGGACAAUGGGCGCAAGCCUGAUCCAGCAAUGCCGCGUGCAGGAAGAAGGCCUUCGGGUUGUAAACUGCUUUUGUCAGGGAAGAAAUCCUUUGGGUUAAUACCUCGGAGGGAUGACGGUACCUGAAGAAUAAGCACCGGCUAACUACGUGCCAGCAGCCGCGGUAAU
rnacentral:rRNA from 1 species